GGGGUCUUGGCACAGUGGUAGCGCGCAUGCUUCGCACCAUCGGUGUAUGCAUGAGGUCGUGAGUUCAAUCCUCACAGUCUCCA
rnacentral:tRNA from 1 species